rnacentral:rRNA from 1 species
CAGCAGCAGCCGCGGUAAUACAGAGGGUGCGAGCGUUAAUCGGAUUUACUGGGCGUAAAGCGUGCGUAGGCGGCUUCUUAAGUCGGAUGUGAAAUCCCUGAGCUUAACUUAGGAAUUGCAUUCGAUACUGGGAAGCUAGAGUAUGGGAGAGGAUGGUAGAAUUCCAGGUGUAGCGGUGAAAUGCGUAGAGAUCUGGAGGAAUACCGAUGGCGAAGGCAGCCAUCUGGCCUAAUACUGACGCUGAGGUACGAAAGCAUGGGGAGCAAACAGGAUUAGAGACCCCUGUAGUCCCUGUCUCUUAUAC